GUAGGGAAUAUUGGGCAAUGGAUGCAAGUCUGACCCAGCCAUCCCGCGUGCCGGAAGAAGGCCCUCAGGGUUGUAAACGGCUUUUGACGGUGAAGAAUCGACAGGAUGCGUCCUGUUUUGACGGUAGCCGUUGAAUAAGCACCGGCUAACUCCGUGCCAGCAGUCGCGGUAAUACGGAGGGUGCGAGCGUUGUCCGGAUUUAUUGGGUUUAAAGGGUGCGUAGGCUGGAAGGUCAGUCAGCGGUGAAAAGCUGUCGCUUAACGAUAGUCUUGCCGCAGAUACUUCCUUUCUUGGAUGAGGAGGAGGCCACUGGAACGGAUGGUGUAGCGGUGAAAUGCAUAGAUAUCAUCCAGAACACCGAUUGCGAAGGCAGGUGGCUGUACCUUAAUCGACGCUGAUGCACGAAAGCAUGGGGAGCAAACAGGAUUAGAAACCCGGGUAGUCC
rnacentral:rRNA from 1 species